AUCUUUUAGUUGUAGACUUAGCAUUUUUUUUUAAUUUGUGUUGCACGCUAUCCGUUUCGUUUAUUUCAUUUAGAAAUAAACUUAAGCUAAAAAUACGAAUCAAGAUUCGAACUUAGAAUCUCGGGUACCAACUAUAUAUCAAGUUCUUUGCCACUUGCAUUAGGGACGGUCCGCGAUAAUAUAUCUUCCUGAAAGAGAAAAAAAAAAAGAAAAAGAUUAGUUGUUAUAUUAUAGUAUUAUAGUUCGUAGUAGAGUGAAAUAUUUGAAUGGUUGUGGAGAGAGAGAGAGAGAGGAGAGAGAGCGGGGGAUGAGGGAGUAGUUGGAGGGGAGUAACUGUGCGUAUAAAUAGG
rnacentral:lncRNA from 1 species